CUGGAUCAUGGACAGGAGCAGGGCGGUUGAUUUCAGGCUGGAAAGGGCGCUGGUUAUGAAGGCUAGGGCCAAUAUGUUGGGGCGAGGCGGCCCUCACGUCUUUCAUGCAGAUGCGAUAGGUGGGGGUACUGUCCCCAUGGGGAGAGAGUACAGUAGUGCAGUUGCUGGUGUAAUUCUCUGUAGGAAAAGGUCAGUUUUCUUUGUGAUUUCAAUCUCUCAAAUACUCCUUUGUAUAAUUGUAUUGUUUCUUUUUCGUUAGGAAGAGUUAAGUGCUUCUAGAAUCAUGGGAUGUGGGAGUUAUUCAGCAAUCCAUAAUUUCAGAUGGAAGAACUUCAUAAGCCGCUUUUGUUUGCCAGCUGCCUUUACCUUCUACACAUUUACAGUAGCCAUUUAUCGAUAGUAGUGAAAAUCAAAAUUAAUUGCAUUCCGGAAGAAACAUUGCCCCUACAGAAUAAUCAGCGUGCAAAAGUGCAUGAGGUUAAUCCGCAGCCAGGAGUUUCCCUCUACUUUCACAUAAUACACAAAACGCUUCUAUCAGGUAUUUACUCUGCCUUAUAUUUGAUUUGCUGCCCGCAUUGUCCACUUUACCUUUUAGUCUCCCUUUGAACUGCCGGCAUGCUUAGGACAGUGUUAUUGUACUUUUUAUGGGCAUGGCUGCCACUUAUUAUUCAGGUAUAAUGAACCAGACAUGUACUGGCACAUUUUUUCAAUUUAUUACAGUAUUAAACUGCUGGCGCUACUACCAGAAUGUUAUCUUUCAAGAGCACAUCCUCCACAUGUUGGCUUGGACAAAGGCUUCGGUUUCUCCAAGCACUUCUUUGCCAAGUACAAGCCCGGUUACAAGGUUGGCCGCAGCCAAUUGGGCUGCACCUGCUCCGUCAAGGCAAAGAAGGCGAGCACAAGGGUCAGGAUGACCAUCAAGGUCAUCCCCAAGGCAAACGUCUGAUGUCAUUUGUCUCUGAUUAUUGCACACACUUUUUUUCUGGCCUGCAUCAGUUUUACUGAUCACGAUUUUUGUGUCAUAUAUACCAUGUAGUUUAGAUCAGUUUUUUUUGGUGCACUUGCCAAGUGAUUGAUGAUAGGUUUGGGAGGAUUUGUUUUUUGGAUGAAUAUUGCCCCUUAAAUCUUUGCAAGAUUUAGAGGUGUAUCAAUUCAACCUCGAACGGAUCCCGUGGAUCAUAUCCACCAGUGAGGUGCUCCUCCUUGACUUCAUAAGGGACAGCUGUCCAGGUACAGCAGCUGCCGCAUCGUUUCGUAGAUUGGUGUGGACACGGUGGUCAUGGUCGUCGUUCCGCUGUGACUAGGCUUUGUGCACACGGCUAGACACAUACAACGUGGAGCAAAAGGUUCGUGAUUGUUGGGGUUGGGACUCCAGGACUGAAAUCAAUUCUCAGCUUGGUUUGAUUUAGGACGGCUUGAUCUCUUAUGCAGGCAUGGUCUGUUCAGUCCUCAUUCAGAUUAGGUUUGCUUCAAAAAUAUUAUUUUGUUCAUGUAUCAUGUGGUACUGUUAGCUACACCAAUUAGUUCUGAUUUGGUACAACCGAAUUUUCAAUUGUUGAUCAUUGAUAUUUGCUAUAGGUUGUUGUAGAAAUAGGGCAUGGACACAGGUGCGGUUCUCUCCAUCUGAUCUCUUAUAUCCUGUUGGUAGUAGAGUUAGGAUGUUGUCAGAUCAAGCCAAAAGAUCUUAAAAGAUGUUUGUCAAGAUCCCAACAGUUAUUUGGGAACAUUGAAGAUGUAAUAGCAGGUCUGCAUGUGGAUUUUGGUCAAAUACUUUUAUAAUAAAAUUAAAGGAACACACUUAACUGAUUAAAUUAAAAAUCUAAUACAAUGAAUUUUCACCGUUGAUGAUACAAUUUUUAUGGAUGUGACCUCCACAGUAAGCGUUCUAGGAUGGAACAAACAUGAAAGUUUAAAUAGUCAGUUUUCUUCUGUUCCGGUGGCAUGCUAUUUCUUUAGUCUUAUUAAAUCUCAGAAUGAGGAAUGUCCUGUUGAGUUAGAGAAAGCGACCACAAGUUGUGGAAAUGAAAAUUUAGUCAAUAAAUUAGAGACAAAACAAGGAAAUAAGGUAUUGCAAAAUUAUCUUGGAGAAGUUGAUGGCUUCAUGCAAGGUCUAAAACAAAUAAUAUGCAGACUGUUGUAUAGUAAGUUACUCAAAAUAUCAAAAAGAGAUGAUGGGAGUACUAAACCAUGGGUGAUGAGAGUGUUGAAAGAGGUUACUGCCAACAAUUAUUUCGGUAUCUCGAAGAGAAGACUAAACCAGAGAUACAUGUAAGAAGUGUUUCCUUUGUGUUUUGCUAUAAAUGUAUACUUGAUUCUCUUUUGGAAGCUACAAUAUGUUUACCGGUUGCAGCCUGCAGGAUUCCUUGAACAUUGUACACGAACUGAAUAAGAUCGGGAGAACAAGCCCUAUGUAUAUGGUACUGUAUUAUAUAUUGAUCAAAGUAAACCAAGUACGCUGCACCAUUUAUUCAGUUAUUUUGUACAUUUGAGAUUCAAUUUUGGUGUAAUUCAGAGUACAUGCCAUGAUACAUUUGUGUAGUUGUUUCAGCUGCGAAGUGGGAUUUAUCUGGAUGAGGAGAUGCAUGGCCUGGUAUGUACGCCUUUAUGAGCAAAUGAAACUAGGGAAUGCCAUGUUCUUUGGAGGGCUUUCAGAAUGCAGUCCGCCCAUUUCUGAUUCCCUUCUUCCAUUGUCUUGAAGUGUGUUUCUUUCUAGGUAUUAUUGGUUGGCAAACUUAUUCAUAGGUCCAGGAGAACAUAAUGUCAGUCAAUGGUUGUAUCUUUUUUGCUUAUCACGCAACAAUUUACAGUCAUUUCCCCUUUUAUUUGGAAUCCCUAUUUUGCAUUGAAGCAACCAGACAUAUUAUACUUAUCUUUCACCUUC